UCCUGAAGGAGCCAGAGGAUGGAAAAUUUUGCUCAGCUUCAGGGAGCAAGGUGGGUGCUGACAGCAGCCCUAAAAUGGAGCUGCAAAGCCCCACAGGGUGCUCUGGGCCAGCAAGAAGCACCUUCACCCCCCCAAUCUCCAGCUGGAAUCUCAAAAGAAAAGUGCAGUUACACCCCCCAGCGCUGCCUGGCUUUGUUUGUGUUGCAUCACCAAGCAUCAGAUC